AAUGAACGCUGGCGGCAUGCCUAACACAUGCAAGUCGAACGAAGCCUUCGGGCUUAGUGGCGCACGGGUGCGUAACGCGUGGGAAUCUGCCCUUGGGUUCGGAAUAACUCUCCGAAAGGAGUGCUAAUACCGGAUGAUGUCGAAAGACCAAAGAUUUAUCGCCCAGGGAUGAGCCCGCGUAGGAUUAGCUAGUUGGUGAGGUAAAAGCUCACCAAGGCGACGAUCCUUAGCUGGUCUGAGAGGAUGAUCAGCCACACUGGGACUGAGACACGGCCCAGACUCCUACGGGAGGCAGCAGUGGGGAAUAUUGGACAAUGGGCGAAAGCCUGAUCCAGCAAUGCCGCGUGAGUGAUGAAGGCCUUAGGGUUGUAAAGCUCUUUUACCCGGGAUGAUAAUGACAGUACCGGGAGAAUAAGCCCCGGCUAACUCCGUGCCAGCCGCCGCAGUAA
rnacentral:rRNA from 1 species